AUUCGCCAAAAUCCAGAAUUUUUGCAUUCUUCUUCUUAUUAUUAUUCUUAUUAUUAUUCUUAUGCUUAUUAUUAAUCUUAUUAUUAUUCUUAUUAUUCUUAUUAUUCUUAUUAUUGUCACGAUUCCCCCUUGAAGCAGCGUGCUCUAAGCGCGAAUGCGCGAGCACCUGCUUUUCCGUUGUUGACUGUAAUGACAUCUGGACACGUGGGUUUUGUUUGUUUCUGUCAUGUCUCCUCCCUGUUCUGUCAUUGGCUGGGAUUUCACGUGGGUCUGAAUUGCUCUCAGCUGCUAGCGGUUUAGACGCUGAUCAUGUCCGCAUAUAUACCGCGCGCCUCCCAGCACACAACGCGGAAGAGUAAUACUUUAGAGUUAGUUUAGGUCGUCUCGUAGUCAUAGUUACGGUCCAUGGUUCGAGUUAGUUCGCGCUGGAUUAUCCGCUUCCAGCCCCUCGUCAUAGUUCGUUUCUUGUUUUGUUUAUCGACCUAGAUUCCUGCCUUGCCCCGUGUAUGCCUGUUUGCCAAUCGCCUGACCUCUUGCAUGUUUGUGGAUUAUGUUUUGGAUCACGUUUUGGAUUUGUCUGCCUCUCUCUUUCUAAUAAACAACUGUUCAUCCAGCACUUGCAUCCGUCCUAUCUCUGCUCUGUCACGAUUCGUGACAGAAUCUUCCGCCAAAAAAUGGAUGCAGCAGGAGAACGGAAGUCGACGCCAACCGUCCCCGCUAUGGACUCCGUCCACUUCCCACAGUGGACAUUUAUGGAGCUUCCUGAUCCAUUUGAUGGAUUUUUUGGUGCCCCUGAGUAUUUUCUGGUAGACUGUCAAUACUAUUUCACCAGCCUGUUAGACCCUAAGCCAGAGGAGAAGCAAUGUCUCCGAUUCAUGUGGUCCCGGUUCUUUGGACCGGCCCGUCAAUGGGUGCAGCUCAAACUGGAUAAGCACUGUAGGAACCUCGACGGUGUAGAACAGUUUGUGGGGGAAUUCAUGGUGCGAUUCGGGAGUCCAGAGGCGAAGGAUGAGCUAGAACAACUUCUCAGGGGGGUAAGUCUGGCAGGUGAACCUGCCCUGCCAUUUACCUACUACUACAGGCAACUUCAUGCAGAGCUCAACUCUGAAAUCCAAGUCAAGCCUCCAGUCCCUGAGGUCCAGGUCCAGCCUCCAGUCCCUGAGGUCCAGGUCCAGCCUCCAGUCCCUGAGGUCCAGGUCCAGCCUCCAGUCCCUGAGGUCCAGCCUCCAGUCCCUGAGGUCCAGCCUCCAGUCCCUGAGGUCCAGCCUCCAGUCCCUGAGGUCCAGCCUCCAGUCCCUGAGGUCCAGCCUCACGUCCCUGAGGGCCAAGCCAAGCCUCACGUCCCUGAGGGCCAAGCCAAGCCUCACGUCCCUGAGCUCACAUUCAAGCCUGCUGAUCCAGGUGACCCAGCUCUGCUAAUAUCAAAGCCUAAUGACUAAGCUCUGCUCACUCCCCAGUCUGCUGACAUGCCAAGCUCUGCCCACGCACUGCCAAGCUCUGCCCACGCCCCAGUCUGCUGACACGCACUGCCAAGCUCUGCCCACGCCCAAGGUUCACCUGGUGACCUCAGAGCCUCAGCCUCCCUGUUCAGCUGAGGUUGUCGCUCAGCCUUCCUGCUCCAUGGCAAACAUCGUUCCCACCUUCUGCUUUGAGGAGGCCCACGCUCCUCUCCCUGGCCACACGGAGGCCCACGCUCCUCUCCCUUGCCGCACGGACACCCACUCUCCUCUCCCGGGCCUUACAGGGGACGUCGCUCUGCCUUCAUGCUCCGCCGAGGACGUCGCUCUGCCUUCAUGCUCCGACGAGGACGUCGCCCUGCUUCCCUGCUCUGCCGAGUACAGUACUCUGUUUCCCUGCUCCGCCGAGGACGUCGCUCUGCCCUCAUGCUCCGCAGAGGUCGUCGCUCCGCCUCCCUGCCCAGCCGAGGACGUCGCUCCGCCUCCCUGCCCAGCCGAGGACGUCGCUCCGCCUCCCUGCCCAGCCGAGGACGUCGCUCCGCCUCCCUGCCCAGCCGAGGACGUCGCUCCGCCUCCCUACGCCGCCGAGGACACCGUGCAGUUUCCUGGCUCUGCUUGGGACAUUCAGCCCAGGGGGCCGGGGCCGCCAAUGAAAUGGGAUGACUCAUGGCACUCCGGGAGGAUUGCCUUGCGGGGGGGGGGUUCUGUCACGAUCCCCCCAUGAAGCAGCGUGCUCUAAGCGCGAAUGCGUGAGCACCUGCUUUUCCGUUGUUGACUGUAAUGACAUCUGGACACGUGGGUUUUGUUUGUUUGUCAUGUCUCCUCCCUGUUCUGUCAUUGGCUGAGAUUUCACGUGGGUCUGAAUUGUUUAGAAGCUGAUCAUGUCUGCAUAUAUACCGCGCGCUUCCCAGCACACAAGGCGAAAGAUUAAUACUUUAGAGUUAGUUUAGGUCGUCUCGUAGUCAUGGUCACGGUCCAUGUUUAGAGUUAGUUCGCGCUGGAUUAUCUGCUUCCAGCCCCUCGUCAUAGUUCGUUUCUUGUUUUGUUUAUUGACCUAGAUUCCUGCCUUGCCCCGUGUAUGCCUGUUUGCCAAUCGCCUGACCUCUUGCAUGUUUGUGGAUUACGUUUUGGAUCACGUUUUGGAUUUGUCUGCCUCUCUCUCGUUCUAAUAAACAACUGUUCAUCCAGCACUUGCAUCCGUCCUAUCUCUGC
ensembl:lncRNA